CGAGAUUCGUGCACGUGCCAGGAAGCCUACGUUCCAGCGAUUUCUACAGCAGGAGAAGCCGCCUCCCUUGCCUUCCUCCUCCAUGCUCUGCCCCUGACAUCUUCCCUUCGUCCGGCGUUCCCAGCCACCGGGCUGCCUUGCAGGCGAAUUUGUUGAAUGACUGGGGCGACAUUCAGCCAAAGCUCAACUGAGAGGAACAGUCAGGAGCAAGAACUGCUUACUAUACGGACGCCACCGCCUCUCCAGCCUACGCCGGGCAGCCAGAUGGGAACCAGCUGCGCAGACGGAAGGACCCGCCAUGGGGAUGCUGGCUGAGGAUCUGACGUGUGCAUUGGCCGGGACGCAAGGCAUGUAGCUUGCUCUAGUUUGCGUGUUCUUGGAAACCACCUUCAGUCUUCUCGAUGAGUUAUCCAGUGUCUUGUGGGAGUCGUCUGUAUGUGGCUGACUGUGUCUCCUUAAGGAAGCUGCAGGACCC